CAGUAAUGGAUUGGUAUACAAGAAGAUGAGCCUCAGUUGACGAAGCAUCUUGACCCCAGUGACAAAACAUUAAGUCAACAAGUCAGUUAGACAUCUGUGUAUAGAGAAGUGAUAACUUGCCUAAGAUGCCUGUGGGAAACCUACAAGCAGAUGUCUGUUGGAAGCCCACAAGCUGGACCUGAGGUCAACAGCACUCUCCCCAACUGUGAUUCCCAGCUGUUUUUGGAGGCCAACAGAGGUACAAGAAAUGGAAAAAGGUCACCUGCUCCCUACUUUAUAAUACACAGAAGUGAUAAAUGCUUGGAUGAACAGAUUACUGGAGGCCGUGUCAAUCUGGAAACGGGAAAACUCAC